CCUAUCUUAGUUAACCGUUCUAUUUAAUUUAUUCAUUUUAUUUUAUUAAAUUGUGAUUUUAUUAUAUAGAACACAUAUCUUAGUAAACCGUUCUAUUUGAUAAAUCCAAAUUUUACACUGACAAUAUAAAUCGUCCCUCCUAGUUAACCGCUCUAUAUGUUUAACAUUAUUUUUAAAAAAAAUAAAAAGAAAAAGCUAAUACCAAGAGGACCAAAAUUCUAACCCUAACUCCUAUUUCCUCUUAACAUAGCCGUCAUUCUCAUUUCCUCUUUCCUCAUCUCUCACGCACUUCCCUCCUCUAAAACCCUUAUUCCUUUCUCUUCUCUCCAUUCCUCAAUGUCCGAUCCUAAAAAACUCCGAGCUGUCCAAUUAUCUUCCUCUCCGUCAUCUUCUUCCUCUAUAUACAACUAUCCUAUUCGUCAUUGCAUCGCUUUAUUUUUCAACCCCAACUCCAACUCCGAUGCAGUACGGUGCGCGAAAGCUCGAACCAUUGCAAUUUCGGUUUUGCUCUGUUUAUGGUCGUUGUUGCGGGUUUAAUAGAGUUUUACAUUAUCGAGUGAGGCUUCACUAUUUGCGUGCACUAUUGAUGGAGGAGCUGUGGUGGUUGAGGUGGUGGAGACGCUGCGGUGGUCGAGGUUGGUGGAGGCGCUGGUAGUGGCUUAAGUUGGGGGAAGCGCUGCUAGUGGUUCAGGUUGUUGAAGCACCGCUGCGGUUGAAUUACCUUUGAUAAUUCAAGUUGCAAUUUCGAAUUAGUUACUAGUUAGCAGUUUAGCACACUAAUAAUUAUUAAGUUAGCUGUAGUAUUGUAUCAAAUGUACUUGAGAUGUAAAUAUUUGAAUUUUUUUUUUUAUUGAAAGAUGUAAAUAUUUGAAUAUAAAGGAUAAUAAAAGUUCAUUUUAAUUUGA